UUUCUAGCUCCAAUACUGUAAUAACUUAAAUAACUAGUCAGGUCUGGAAAGAAGCAGCUAAAUUAAGUGAAUACAGGUAUUGCGAGCUAGAAUAUA
rnacentral:SRP_RNA from 1 species